GCUUGUUCUAGAGAGGCUGCCUCAAGGAAUGGCACCAUCCAUUCUCCUGGGAGCCCAGACCUGGCCUUCCUCUCGGUCCUCAUCUGCGGGCUUCAGUCUCAAAGGUCCAGGACCAGUGUGAGCACCUGUGAUGUCUAUGUGGAUGGAGAGUGCCUGGAAUUGGCAGGUUUGCACAAGGACACCCCCUCCCCUGCCCUGGCUCUUCUAGCCUCAGUGUGGGGGCGCUGGUCACAGGGUGGGGAGAAAGCUUUUCCUCCAAAGACACUUGACCAUUUUGGUCAGAGUGGGGCGAAAAGCCUGGUGAGCAGAGGUUGGUGGCCGAGGGAGACAGGGUACAAGGUCCAUGGAAAAAAUGGAAACGAGAGGGUCAGGAACUCCCAGGAGGGGGAAGAGACCAUAGAACAUUCUUCACUACAGUGGAAGGGCUGGACAAAUGGCACAACACUUGCCAACCAUCUGACCUUUAAGAGUCCUGUUUCUUGCCCUAUGGGUUCAUGA
rnacentral:lncRNA from 1 species